AGACCCGAAACCCGGUGAUCUAGCCAUGGGCAGGUUGAAGGUUGGGUAACACUAACUGGAGGACCGAACCGACUAAUGUUGAAAAAUUAGCGGAUGACUUGUGGCUGGGGGUGAAAGGCCAAUCAAACCGGGAGAUAGCUGGUUCUCCCCGAAAGCUAUUUAGGUAGCGCCUCGUGAAUUCAUCUCCGGGGGUAGAGCACUGUUUCGGCAAGGGGGUCAUCCCGACUUACCAACCCGAUGCAAACUGCGAAUACCGGAGAAUGUUAUCACGGGAGACACACGGCGGGUGCUAACGUCCGUCGUGAAGAGGGAAACAACCCAGACCGCCAGCUAAGGUCCCAAAGUCAUGGUUAAGUGGGAAACGAUGUGGGAAGGCCCAGACAGCCAGGAUGUUGGCUUAGAAGCAGCCAUCAUUUAAAGAAAGCGUAAUAGCUCACUGGUCGAGUCGGCCUGCGCGGAAGAUGUAACGGGGCUAAACCAUGCACCGAAGCUGCGGCAGCGACACUGUGUGUUGUUGGGUAGGGGAGCGUUCUGUAAGCCUGUGAAGGUGUGCUGUGAGGCAUGCUGGAGGUAUCAGAAGUGCGAAUGCUGACAUAAGUAACGAUAAAGCGGGUGAAAAGCCCGCUCGCCGGAAGACCAAGGGUUCCUGUCCAACGUUAAUCGGGGCAGGGUGAGUCGACCCCUAAGGCGAGGCCGAAAGGCGUAGUCGAUGGGAAACAGGUUAAUAUUCCUGUACUUGGUGUUACUGCGAAGGGGGGACGGAGAAGGCUAUGUUGGCCGGGCGACGGUUGUCCCGGUUUAAGCGUGUAGGCUGGUUUUCCAGGCAAAUCCGGAAAAUCAAGGCUGAGGCGUGAUGACGAGGCACUACGGUGCUGAAGCAACAAAUGCCCUGCUUCCAGGAAAAGCCUCUAAGCAUCAGGUAACAUCAAAUCGUACCCCAAACCGACACAGGUGGUCAGGUAGAGAAUACCAAGGCGCUUGAGAGAACUCGGGUGAAGGAACUAGGCAAAAUGGUGCCGUAACUUCGGGAGAAGGCACGCUGAUAUGUAGGUGAAGUCCCUCGCGGAUGGAGCUGAAAUCAGUCGAAGAUACCAGCUGGCUGCAACUGUUUAUUAAAAACACAGCACUGUGCAAACACGAAAGUGGACGUAUACGGUGUGACGCCUGCCCGGUGCCGGAAGGUUAAUUGAUGGGGUCAGCGCAAGCGAAGCUCUUGAUCGAAGCCCCGGUAAACGGCGGCCGUAACUAUAACGGUCCUAAGGUAGCGAAAUUCCUUGUCGGGUAAGUUCCGACCUGCACGAAUGGCGUAAUGAUGGCCAGGCUGUCUCCACCCGAGACUCAGUGAAAUUGAACUCGCUGUGAAGAUGCAGUGUACCCGCGGCAAGACGGAAAGACCCCGUGAACCUUUACUAUAGCUUGACACUGAACAUUGAGCCUUGAUGUGUAGGAUAGGUGGGAGGCUUUGAAGUGUGGACGCCAGUCUGCAUGGAGCCGACCUUGAAAUACCACCCUUUAAUGUUUGAUGUUCUAACGUGGACCCG
rnacentral:rRNA from 1 species